AUUGAACGCUGGCGGAAUGCUUUACACAUGCAAGUCGAACGGUAGAGGGGGCAACCCCUUGAGAGUGGCGAACGGGUGAGUAGUAUAUCGGAACGUGCCCAGUCGUGGGGAUAACGUAGCGAAAGUUACGCUAAUACCGCAUACGAUCUAAGGAUGAAAGCGGGGGGACUCGCAAGUAGCCUCGCGCGAUUGGAGCGGCCGAUAUCAGAUUAGGUAGUUGGUGGGGUAAAGGCUCACCAAGCCAACGAUCUGUAGCUGGUCUGAGAGGACGACCAGCCACACUGGAACUGAGACACGGUCCAGACUCCUACGGGAGGCAGCAGUGGGGAAUUUUGGACAAUGGACGCAAGCCUGAUCCAGCAAUGCCGCGUGCAGGAUGAAGGCCU
rnacentral:rRNA from 1 species